rnacentral:rRNA from 1 species
GACGAACGCUGGCGGCGUGCCUAAUACAUGCAAGUCGAGCGGACGAAUCGAAAGCUUGCUUUUGAUUCGUUAGCGGCGGACGGGUGAGUAACACGUGGGCAACCUGCCCUGUAGACGGGGAUAACACCGAGAAAUCGGUGCUAAUACCGGAUAACACGAAAUGUCGCAUGACGUUUCGUUGAAAGACGGCGCAAGCUGUCGCUAUAGGAUGGGCCCGCGGCGCAUUAGCUAGUUGGUGAGGUAACGGCUCACCAAGGCGACGAUGCGUAGCCGACCUGAGAGGGUGAUCGGCCACACUGGGACUGAGACACGGCCCAGACUCCUACGGGAGGCAGCAGUAGGGAAUCUUCCGCAAUGGACGAAAGUCUGACGGAGCAACGCCGCGUGAGCGAAGAAGGCCUUCGGGUCGUAAAGCUCUGUUGUUAGGGAAGAACAAGUAACGCAGUAACUGGCGUUACCGUGACGGUACCUAACGAGAAAGCCACGGCUAACUACGUG